rnacentral:rRNA from 1 species
UUCUGGCUCAGAUGAACGCUGGCGGCAGGCCUAACACAUGCAAGUCGAACGGUAACAGGAAACAGCUUGCUGUUCGCUGACGAGUGGCGGACGGGUGAGUAAUGUCUGGGAAACUGCCUGAUGGAGGGGGAUAACUACUGGAAACGGUAGCUAAUACCGCAUAACGUCGCAAGACCAAAGAGGGGGACCUUCGGGCCUCUUGCCAUCGGAUGUGCCCAGAUGGGAUUAGCUAGUAGGUGGGGUAACGGCUCACCUAGGCGACGAUCCCUAGCUGGUCUGAGAGGAUGACCCAGCCACACUGGAACUGAGACACGGUCCAGACUCCUACGGGAGGCAGCAGUGGGGAAUAUUGCACAAUGGGCGCAAGCCUGAUGCAGCCAUGCCGCGUGUAUGAAGAAGGCCUUCGGGUUGUAAAGUACUUUCAGCGGGGAGGAAGGGAGUAAAGUUAAUACCUUUGCUCAUUGACGUUACCCGCAGAAGAAGCACCGGCUAACUCCGUGCCAGCAGCAGC